GGGAAAUGUCACUUCUGAGGGAAACUUCACAAUGACAGCUUUCACGUUCAGGAAUGGGUCGUGUAAGGAGACCUCCAUUGUUUACAGUCUGACCAACACUCCAGGGCAAUUCUUUCACCAUGUUGCAAGGACCGAGUUCAGUGCAGAUGUUGAUUCCUUCGUGGUUCGCACCAACUAUGACGAAUAUGCAAUGAUACUGCAGCUGAGCACCGACAAACCAU